ACGCUCGACACCUACGGGAGGCAGCAGUAGGGAAUCUUCCACAAUGGACGCAAGUCUGAUGGAGCAACGCCGCGUGAGUGAAGAAGGUUUUCGGAUCGUAAAGCUCUGUUGUUGGUGAAGAAGGAUAGAGGUAGUAACUGGCCUUUAUUGACGGUAAUCAACCAGAAAGUCACGGCUAACUACGUGCCACAGCCGCGGUAAUCUGAGCGGGCUGGCAAGGC
rnacentral:rRNA from 1 species